UACGUAGGGCGCAAGCGUUAUCCGGAAAUCAUUGGGCGUAAAGCGCGUGUAGGCGGUUCCGUAAGUCCGCUCUGAAAGCCCAGGCUCAACCCUGGGAGGCGGGUGGAUACUACGGAACUGGAGUACGGAAGAGGAGAUUGGAAAUUCUUGGUGUAGCGGUGAAAUGCGCAGAUAUCAGGAGGAACACCAACAGCGAAGGCAGAUCUCUGGGACGUUACUGACGCUGAGACGCGAAGCGUGGGGAGCAAACAGG
rnacentral:rRNA from 1 species